UUCCAGGUGGUUCAGAUGGUAAAGCGUCUGCCUGCAGAGCAGGAGACCUGGGUUCGAUCCCUGGGUCGGGAA
rnacentral:tRNA from 1 species